AGCCCUUAGUUCUCUCUGGUUGGCUCGGCCACGUGAAUGAUGGAAUGAGAGCAAUAGAUUGCCCCUCCGGAAUGUUAUUUUGGAGAUCAACUCCAUGACGCCACCUGAUAAGUUUUCUUGACAAGUGACUAUGAUCCAUGUGCAUGGGACUUGUAAGUCGUCUGCUUAACAAUUGUAUUGCAUUAAGGUCAUGGUUGGUGUAGUUAUAGGUUCCACAUUGCAGCUGUAACAUCAGGUAUGCCUUGUAGAUUUAUGGUUAUUUCGUGUUGUAAAACAUUUAGUGCCAAUAAUUCGAUCAAGUUUUUUGUUUGUUAGAAGUGAUAACGGAAGAUGGGAGUGGUACAUGUAACAUAGUUUACAGCUAUCGAUUUGUAUACUAAAAAUCGGAAUCAAGUUGUAUUUACAUUUGGGUGAUCUUUCUU
rnacentral:misc_RNA from 1 species